CCUACGGGUGGCAGCAGUGGGGAAUAUUGCGCAAUGGGCGAAAGCCUGACGCAGCGACGCCGCGUGAGGGAUGAAGGUCUUCGGAUCGUAAACCUCUGUCAGCAGGGAAGAACGGUCACUGUGCUAAUCAGCAGUGAAUUGACGGUACCUGCAAAGGAAGCACCGGCUAACUCCGUGCCAGCAGCCGCGGUAAUACGGAGGGUGCGAGCGUUAAUCGGAAUUACUGGGCGUAAAGUGCGCGUAGGCGGGAUGUCAAGUCAAGGGGGAAAUCCCCGCGCUCAACGUGGGAACUGCCUUUGAAACUGGCAAACUGGAGUAUGUGAGAGGAUAGUGGAAUUCCAGGUGUAGGAGUGAAAUCCGUAGAUAUCUGGAGGAACAUCAGUUGCGAAGGCGACUAUCUGGCACAUAACUGACGCUGAGGAGCGAAAGCGUGGGUAGCAAACAGGAUUAGAUACCCCAGUAGUC
rnacentral:rRNA from 1 species